rnacentral:rRNA from 1 species
AUUGAACGCUGGCGGCAGGCCUAACACAUGCAAGUCGAGCGGAUGACGGGAGCUUGCUCCUUGAUUCAGCGGCGGACGGGUGAGUAAUGCCUAGGAAUCUGCCUGGUAGUGGGGGACAACGUUUCGAAAGGAACGCUAAUACCGCAUACGUCCUACGGGAGAAAGCAGGGGACCUUCGGGCCUUGCGCUAUCAGAUGAGCCUAGGUCGGAUUAGCUAGUUGGUGGGGUAAUGGCUCACCAAGGCGACGAUCCGUAACUGGUCUGAGAGGAAGAUCAGUCACACUGAAACUGAGACACGGUCCAGACUACUCCGGGAGCCAACAGUGGGGAAUGUUCGACAAUAGGCGAAAGCCUGAUCCAGCCAUGCCGCGUGUGUGAAGAAGGUCUUCGGAUUGUAAAGCACUUUAAGUUGGGAGGAAGGGCAGUAAGUUAAUACCUUGCUGCUUUGACGUUACCGACAGAAUAAGCACCGGCUAACUCUGUGCCAGCAGCCGCCGUAA